UGUGAAAUGGUUGCUGGAUAAAACCACAGA
rnacentral:piRNA from 1 species